rnacentral:rRNA from 1 species
GAUGAACGCUAGCGGCAGGCCUAAUACAUGCAAGUCGAACGGGAUUGCGGUAGUAGCUUGCUACUACUGCAUGAGAGUGGCGCACGGGUGCGUAACGCGUGAGCAACCUACCCAUAUCAGGGGGAUAGCCCGGCGAAAGUCGGAUUAACACCGCAUAACAUCAACAGUUCGCAUGUUCAGUUGAUUAAAUAUUUAUAGGAUAUGGAUGGGCUCGCGUGACAUUAGCUAGUUGGUAGGGUAACGGCUUACCAAGGCAACGAUGUCUAGGGGCUCUGAGGGGAGAAUCCCCCACACUGGUACUGAGACACGGACCAGACUCCUACGGGAGGCAGCAGUAAGGAAUAUUGGUCAAUGGGCGCAAGCCUGAACCAGCCAUGCCGCGUGCAGGAGGACUGCCCUAUGGGUUGUAAACUGCUUUUAUCAGGGAAUAAACCCCUUUACGAGUAGAGGGUUGAAUGUACCUGAAGAAUAAGAAUCGGCUAACUCCGUG